UGGGGAAUAUUGCACAAUGCGCGCAAGCCUGAUGCAGCCAUGCCGCGUGUAUGAAGAAGGCCUUCGGGUUGUAAAGUACUUUCAGCGGGGAGGAAGGCGAUAAGGUUAAUAACCUUGUCGAUUGACGUUACCCGCAGAAGAAGCAACGGCUAACUCCGUGCCCGCAGCCGCGGUAAUACGGAGGGGGCAAGCGUUAAUCGGAAUUACUGGGCGUAAAGCGCACGCAGGCGGUCUGUCAAGUCGGAUGUGAAAUCCCCGGGCUCAACCUGGGAACUGCAUUCGAAACUGGCAGGCUAGAGUCUUGUAGAGGGGGGUAGAAUUCCAGGUGUAGCGGUGAAAUGCGUAGAGAUCUGGAGGAAUACCGGUGGCGAAGGCGGCCCCCUGGACAAAGACUGACGCUCAGGUGCGAAAGCGUGGGGAGCAAACA
rnacentral:rRNA from 1 species